CCUACGGGAGGCAGCAGUGAGGAAUAUUGGACAAUGGAUGGAAAUCUGAUCCAGCCAUGCCGCGUGCAGGAAGACGGCCCUAUGGGUUGUAAACUGCUUUUGUAUGGGAGCAAUAAGAUCUACGUGUAGAUUGAUGAGAGUACCAUACGAAUAAGCACCGGCUAACUCCGUGCCAGC
rnacentral:rRNA from 1 species